rnacentral:rRNA from 1 species
AUUGAACGCUGGCGGCAGGCCUAACACAUGCAAGUCGAACGAGUGGCGGACGGGUGAGUAAUGUCUGGGAAACUGCCUGCUGGAGGGGGAUAAAUACUGGAAAAGGUAGCUAAUACCGCAUACCCUAGGAUGUGCCCAGAUGGGAUUAGCUAGGAGGUGGGGUAAAGGCUCACCUAGGCGACGAUCCCUAGCUGGUCUGAGAGGAUGACCAGCCACACUGGAACGGAGACACGGUCCAGACUCCUACGGGAGGCAGCAGUGGGGAAUAUUGCACAAUGGGCGCAAGCCUGAUGCAGCCAUGCCGAGUGUAUGAAGAAGGCCUUCGGGUUGUAAAGUACUUUCAGCGGGGAGGCGUUACCCGCAGAAGAAGCACCGGCUAACUCCGUGCCAGCCGCCGCGGUAAUAC